rnacentral:lncRNA from 1 species
UUAUUGGGUUUUACAAUAAGAAUAAACAUAAUAAACAAUAUAACAUUUGUCUUAACAUAGUUUCACAUUUUCUUUGGACUUCCUCACAUCCCCCGCUCCCACUUUCAUCGUUAUAACAUUUUGUCAGCAAUUUAUCAUCUUAUUUAAAUUCUUAUAUCUCUUCAAUGUUUCAUAAUCUUAUAGUUCUCAUAAAGAGUUAAACUUUCACAGUCUUACUUAUUUUCUUAAAAACUUCUAAGUUAAGUGGUGCUCAGUUAUUUAGUCUAGCAUCUUAUUUAGCAUUCACUCAAAUCACAAUAUUUUUGUAGAUAGUUCUUAAAUUUCUUCCAAUCCUCCUCGAUUCUCUCUUCUCCCAGGUCACGGAUUCUGCCGGUCAUUUCAGCCAGUUCCAUGUAGUCUAUCAGUUGCAUCUGCCAUUCUUCCAGUGUGGGUAAAUCUUGAGUUUUCCAAUGUUUUGCAAGAAGUAUCCUUGCUGCUGUUGUUGCAUACAUAAAAAAUGUCUGGUCCUUCUUUGCCACCCCUUGGCUGACAAUACCCAGAAGGAAAGCCUCUGGUUUCUUGGUAAAGGUAUAUUUAAAUACCUUUUUCAAUUCAUUAUAAAUCAUUUCCCAGAACGCCUUCACUUUAGGGCAGGUCCACCAGAGGUGGAAGAACGUUCCCUCACACUCUUUACAUUUCCAACACUUAUUAUCAGACAGGUGGUAAAUUUUUGCAAGUUUAACUGGGGUCAUAUACCAUCUAUAAAUCAUUUUCAUUACAUUUUCUUUCAGAGCGUUACAUGCAGUAAAUUUCAAUCCAUUACUCCACAACUUUUCCCAGUCCUCAAACAUAAUAUUAUACCCAAUGUCCUGUGCCCACCUUAUCAUAGCCGAUUUAACCAUUUCAUCUUGUGUAUUCCAUUCCAACAGCAAGUUAUACAUCCUUGAAAGUACCUUAGUCUUUGGUUCUAACAAUUCUGUUUCUAAUUUCGAUUUCUCCACCUGGAACCCUAGUUUCUUAUCAUUUUUAAAAACUUCUUUAAUCUGAGCGUAAUGUAACCAAUCUCGCACUUUGUCUUUCAUUUUCUCCAAACUCUGCAAUUUCCAAUUGUCUCCAUCUUUUCUAGUAUUUCCCAAUAUUUUGGCCAUUUAGCCUCCAUAUUGGGUCUUUUUCGGGCCUUAGCUUCCAAAGGUGAAAGCCACCUUGGUGUUUUAUUUUCCAGCAAGUCUUUAUAUUUUGUCCAGACAUUAAACAAUGAUUUUCUGACAAUAUGGUUCUUGAAGGCCUUAUUUGCUUUAACUUUGUCAUACCAUAAAUAUGCAUGCCAUCCAAAAACAUUAUUAAACCCUUCCAAAUCCAACACAUCAGUGUCUUCAAGAAGUAGCCAGUCUUUUAGCCAGCAGAACGCUGCGGCUUCAUAAUACAACUUUAAGUCCGGCAGGGCAAAGCCCCUCUUUGUUUUGCAUCAGUUAAUAUCUUAAACUUGAUUCUGGGCUUUUUGCCCUGCCAGACAAACUUCGAAAUAUCUCUCUGCCACUUCUGAAAGCACUCCGUUUUGUCCAAAACCUGAAGUGUUUGAAAUAAAAACAACAUCCUUGGCAAUACAUUCAUCUUAAUAGCAGCAAUUCGGCCUAACAAAGAAAGUUUCAAUUUUGACCAACUGUCUAAGUCUCUCUUAAUUUCUGUCCAACAUUUUUCAUAGUUAUCCUUAAAUAGACUUAGAUUUUUGCUGUUAUGUUUACCCCUAGGUAUUUUACUUUUUAACCACAUUAAGUUCCGUCUCAUUCUGAAACCGUUCUGACUCUGUAUCAGUCAAAUUUUUCCCCAAAACCUUAGUUUUCUGUUUAUUUAAUUUAAAUCCCGCCACCCGACCAAAAUCAUUAAUCAAUUGUAAUACUCUUUUCGUACUGGGCUCUGGCUUCUGCAGGGUCAAAACCAGGUCAUCUGCAAAAGCUUUUAGUUUAUAUUGUUUCUGACCAACCUGAAUUCCUUCCACCAACCGAUCCCCUCUAAUCAUGUUCAGUAGCACUUCCAGAACCGAAAUAAAUAACAAAGGGGAGAUAGGGCAACCUUGUCGUGUCCCUUUUUCAAUUUUGAACUCUUCUGUGACCACAUUAUUAACUAUCAGUUUAGCUUUCUGUUCUGAAUAUAUCGCCUCAAUCCCAUUCUCAAAACCCCGUCCCACUCCCAUCUCUUUUAAAUUUCCCAUCAUAAAUUUCCAGGAAAUAUUGUCAAAGGCCUUCUCCGCAUCUAUGAAAAUUAAAACUGCUUUUGUAUUUAUAUCUGUUUGCAGAAGUUCCAAGAUGUCAAUAAUGUUCCUUGUGUUAGCAAACAGAUGUCUACCUGGGAGAAAACCGGCCUGGUCCUUAUGAAUUACUUCAUUUAAUACUUUUUAAAUCUACUUGCCAAAAUAUCUGCAAAUAUUUUGUAAUCCACAUUUAAAAGAGAGAUGGGACGGUAGUUCUUCAGUUGUGUCUUUUCAGCUUCUGACUUUGGUAUUAAUGUGAUGAACGCUUCCUUCCACGAAUCCGGUGCCCUCUUCCCCUCCAUAAUUUCAUUGCUGACCUCCAUCAAGGGUUGUAUCAAAUAGUCUUUUAAUGUCUUAUAAUACUUGGAGGUCAGCCCAUCUGGCCCUGGAGAUUUGCCAAGUUGCAUGUUCUGAAUAGCUUGUUCAAUCUCCUGUCGUGUUAUUUUAGAGUUCAGGAUUGUCCUGUUUUCUUGUGACAAUUUAGAUAAUCCAUUUUUGCCAAAAAUUGUUUAAUCUCAACUUCGUCUUGCGGCCCUUGGGUGUAUAAUUUUUUAAAAUAUCUCUGGAAACACUUUCUAAUAUCCACUGGAUUCUGAAUGUUUUUUCCAUCAACCUCUAAGUUUGUAACCGUGUUUAAUCUUUGUCUUCUCUUCAACUGCCAAGCUAGCAGUUUUCCACAUUUAUUCGCCGACUCAAACGUUUUUGUUUCAUUAAUUUAACCUUCCAUUCAAUUUCCUGAUUUAUCAAUUUAGAAUAUUGUGUUUGAUAGAGUUUAAUUUCUCUCAGAGUUGGCUGUGACUUUGGAUUCGCUCUUAAUUUCUUCUCUAAUUCUUUUAAUUUGUCCAAGAUCUUAUCUUUUUCUCAUUUUGUGUUCUUUUCUUUACUACAUUCUGUUGUAUCAAGAAUCCCCUCAUUACAGCUUUGCUUGCGUCCCAGACAAUUCUUUUUCCACCGAAUUGUUCAUGUUUAUCUCAAAAUAGUCCUUCAAAACUUUUUGGGCCUUCUUGGUAAUUUCCUGAUCUCUAAACAAAUUGUCAUUCAUCUUCCAUCUAAAGGAUCCAGUUGGUAGUAGUGUCAUAUCCAUCUUUACUGCAUUAUGGUCAGAGCAGGUCUUUGGGCAGAUUUCCACUUUUCUGACCUUAGGUGCCAGGCCUCUGGAAAUCCAUAUUUGGUCGAUUCUUGUCCAGGUCAGUUGGGCUUCAGAAAAGAAUGUUCCUUCUCUACCUAGUGGGUUCUUUGUCCUCCAAAUGUCAAUCAAAUCCAUAUUGUCAGUCAUUUCAAAAAAAGUUGUAGGUAGUCUGCCGUCUUUUGUAACAUUUUGACUUUGUGACUUGUCCAUGUUAGUUGACACGACCCCGUUCAUGUCUCCCAUCAUUAUGAUGUUGUUGUAAUCCAGAUAUUCCAGCAUUGUCCCCUGCAGCUUCUUGUAAAAUUCCGAUUUCCCUUCAUUAGGUGCAUAGAUUCCUAAUAUCAACAGUUUCUCUCCUUGAUAUUGUAUCUCAAUGGCCAAAAUUCUUCCAUGUUCAUCUUUAAAUAAGAAUUUAGGUGACAGGCUCUCUUUUGCAUAUAUCACCACGCCUCUCUUCUUAACUUUGUCCGACGAAACAAAUUCCUGGCCCAAUCUUUUAUUUAUUAACACUUUUCUGUGGAGCCUCGUCACAUGUGUUUCUUGUAAACAGAUAAUGUCCAAUUGUUCUUUAUUAAUAUAUGAAAUAUUUUCUUCCUUUUUUCCGGAAUGUUACAACCAUUAAUGUUCCAACUCAGCAAUUGCAGAGACAUCCUGGAUCUAUCUGGUUAUUUCUCCAGGGGUGGUGUCUUCUCUGGAUCUUCAGGUUCCCCAGGUGCUGGUGUUAAUGCUGGCUUUGCCCCAGGCCCAGAAGGUAAUUCAAUUCCUUUUUGAAGGUCCUCUCCGUAUGUAGCCAAAAAUUUGUCUCUCUCUUCCAAUGUUCUAACUUUGACCUUUCUCCCUUUAAAGGUAAAAGAUAUUCCUUGGGGAAAUUCCCACCUGAAUGGAAUUGCGUUGCUCCUUAGUAGUUUAGCAAGUUCAGAAUAGGCGGCUCUAAGAUCCAGCAGUUGUCUUGGAAUAUCUUUAUAAAUUUCAAUUCUUCUGUCCAAAACCUCCAGUGACUUUCCGUAAUGUAGGCCCAAAAUCUUAUCCCUUUCCUCCUUUGAUCUCAAUGUAAUCAAACAGUCUCUGGGCCUCUCCUUCUUUGUGAAUCUUCCAAGUCUGAAAGCCGACACAAUUUUAAAAUCCUUUUCUUCCAAAUUCCAGAACUUGGAAAAUUCUUUGGUCAAAAACUCAGUUAAAUUUCCUUCUUCUGCCUCUUGUAAUGAUCUAAUCCUCAAAUUAUUCUCACGAUUUCGCAGUUCUAUCAUGGAAAGAUAAGUCUGAUGUUCCCCAACUUGUUUGGUGAGUGGUCUUACCUCUUGCUCUAAAUUUUCCAAUUUUUGUCUAGUAUCCUCAGCCAAUUUCCGAUUUUCUGCUGAGGCCUCCGUUAACUGUCCAAUUGCUUGUGUAUUCUGUACAACUUGUAUGGUUAAUUUAUUUAGACAUUCUGUAUUUUUGUCAAUCUUUGCUGAUUGCGCAUCUACUUUCUUGUCCAAAGCUUCCAAUUUUUCAAAGAUUUUGUCUAGAACAGAAACAGAUACUCCUGAGGCCAUAUCUUCCAAUUGUAACUGCUCUGCUUCACCCUCUCCCUCUUUUGCCUGUGGCAAGGCAACUUCUUCAAGUUCUACUUCUGAGGGCAAAGUAGGUACAGAUGAUCUACGUGUCUGCGAGGCUGAGGUUAGAGUUGUUAAAGUUGUUUGUCUAACUCUCCCUCUUUUCCUUGUGCCACUCAUUCCAACGUUGUCUAUCAGUCAAGGUCACACUGAGUUUUUCCCAUGGGAAUAGAAAGGCCCAGAGCAAGCAAACAACAAGGGAAUCGAAAGUAAAUGUAAAUGUAAAGUCACUGUUUUAAUCCAAUCCUCUAGAGGGAGCUUAAAAUGUCUUUCAGAGUCUAAUUUAAUGUCCAAGAACCUUCAAAUAUAAAUAUUUAGCAGAGUUUAUAAGUAGUCACUUUGUUACAGACAGUGCUUAUUUAUCUCCAAAAAGAAUGUUUCAAAUUUAAAAAGUCUCAAUACCCUCAGAUUGUUGCAAGUUCCAAUAUACAGUAUCCAAAUCUGCAAUACUGACAGCUCAAUUUCUCAAUGCUCAGGCAGCUCCUGACUCUGGGUUUCACCUUCUAAUUUGUAAUCCAAUAAAAGGGGGAAAGUCAAGUGCAAGUUAAAAUUCCAAGUCUUUAGCUUAAAGUCUUUACUUUAAAUUGCAAGUUCAGUAGAUGCUUAGAUCUGUAAAGUUUAAAAUCUCUUCCUUUCAGCCUCCACUCCUCCAACUUAGUUGCUUUUUUCAAGUUCAAUGGCUGCGGAAGACGGACUUCCUGUUUCCACGUCUCUCCGCUUUCAGCCAAGUUCAAGCCAAUUUAAGGUUUUUCAUUUAAAGUCUCUAAUUUCAAGUGAUUCAGUCUUUACUCACGAGUAAGUUGCUUUUCGUCCGAAUCCGUAUUUUAACAGGAAAAAGGAUCAGCGCUCACCGGCAGCAGCAGCGCGGCUUCACUCCGCAGACUGUGAAGCAGCUCUCAGCGCCGCAACCCCCCUCCACGCUCCGGAGCCCCUUACGAGGUUCCUUUCACGUUUGGAGGGUCACUUAAGGCGCCCACCGAGCCUCAAGACCCCAAGCUCUUGCUGCCUGGGGUUUUCCGGAGUGGGUCUCCGCUUCGCCGUAGCGGACGACCCGUUGUCUGCGGAGCCUCCUCUCCCGUUCAGAAGAGGACCGCCAUUGCCGUUCGCGCCGCCCCUCGGAAGUCU